UAGGGAAUCUUCGGCAAUGGACGAAAGUCUGACCGAGCAACGCCGCGUGAGUGAAGAAGGUUUUCGGAUCGUAAAACUCUGUUGUUAGAGAAGAACAAGGACGUUAGUAACUGAACGUCCCCUGACGGUAUCUAACCAGAAAGCCACGGCUAACUACGUGCCAGCAGCCGCGGUAAUACGUAGGUGGCAAGCGUUGUCCGGAUUUAUUGGGCGUAAAGCGAGCGCAGGCGGUUGAUUGAGUCAGAUGUGAAAUCCCCGGGCUUAACCCGGGAAUUGCAUCUGAUACUGGUCAGCUAGAGUCUUGUAGAGGGGGGUAGAAUUCCAUGGGUAGCGAUGAAAUGCGUAGAGAUGUUGAGGAAUACCGGUGGCGAAGGCGGCCCCUUGGACAAAGACUGACGCACAGGUGCGAAAGAGUGGGGAGCAAACAGG
rnacentral:rRNA from 1 species